rnacentral:sRNA from 1 species
CUAUAGCCCUGAUAGCAACGGUAUCCUUUUUAUUCGUUUUUUUGCGAAUAAAAAGAUACAAGUGGAUAGCAGGAUCUAGC